rnacentral:snRNA from 1 species
AGAUAGAGCCCAAUUUAUCAUUA